rnacentral:tRNA from 1 species
UGUGGUGUAGCUCAGUGGCAGAGAGCUUGCCUAGCAUGCAUGAGGAACAGGGUUUGAUCCUUAGCACCACAU